UCUCCGUUGGUGAACCAGCGGAGGGAUCAUUACUGGAAUCGCAAGACUCCCAACCCCUGUGAACGUACCGAAACGUUGCCUCGGCGGGCCUCGCGCCCGCCGGCGGCCCCUUACUCUUUGCCUCUCGCGUUGUCUCUCCGAGUAUCGCAGAAUGCAUAAAAACUUUCAACAACGGAUCUCUUGGUUCUGGCAUCGAUGAAGAACGCAGC
rnacentral:misc_RNA from 1 species